GCUUUAGUGGUGUUAUUAACAUAGUAAGUUGUAAACUUAAAGAAGCUUAGGCCUAAGUUA
rnacentral:tRNA from 1 species